GCACUCUUGUUUCUCUUCAAAGCGUAUAAAUCUUUCGCCUUUUACUAAAGAUUUCCGUGGAGAGGAACAUAAAGAGUAAAUCAAAAUUUUUUAAUUCCCUGUCUUUUGGCGGGGU